CUUGUUUCAUAUUCUUUGGUCGUGAUAACGUUUGCAACCAUGAAUAGUACAGAUUGCUUUUCCAGGUGUGUGGAGAGACAUGUGUAUUCCUCCUAUGACGAAUUCCUCAGGCUCCAUGAAGUUCCACGCAUCAAGAAGUCAAGAUUCCAGGAGGCCUAAAAUAGGAGAGGAGGGCGCAGCUUGAUUCAAUCCAUGUCAAGUCAGAGGCUGCUGCGAGGUUUGCAUAUGCAGGUAGAAUUUAGAUGGUGAGGUUUUGUCUCUGUUCCCAUUUUUAUAACGACUAGGUGUUUGAGUUCCUAAGAUUAAAGUUUAUGUAGAUUCUUCUUUGUAAUUAGAUCUUUGUUAGGCAUCUAACUGAAUAAAUGAUCUCCAUUAUGGACUGGUUAUAUUAUUUUCUGUGCGAUCGGAUGGGUUAAAGAAAAGACGUGAAAUGGUAUUUUCCAGUAUGGACUGUAUAAAUGUAAUUAUAUUCCUAUGCUGGUCCUGCUUAGCUUUCAGGUGGAUUUAUCUUGCAAAUGGUAUGUG